AUGCUCGUCCUUCCGGUGACACCUCCGCGCUCCCCCACCUCGGACCCCGCCGACUGGGGUGAGGACCGGCUGCUGGUGUGUGCUCCGCCGACUGGGGUGAGGACCGGUGCGUCUCCUCCAGCCUCGCCUGGCCUGCCCGCCACCCCCACCUCCUUCCUGUCAGCCAUGGGGAGUGGGGUGGCCUCCGUCCUAUCUACACCUGUGGUUGCGCCUCCCCACCCGCCACGGACAGCUUCCUACUCCAGGCGUGGGCGCUCGACCUCGACUCCGGUGACGUCCUCAUGGCGUAGCGCCCGGAUCGUUGCUGCUCGGCCGGCUGGCAACCCUGCUCUGCCCAUCCCAGAGCGGGCGGAGCUUCGGGCCGCGGCCCGCAACCUUGAGCCAGGUGUCAAGGAUGCCACCUUUGAGGUGGGUGGUAUGGAUAGGGGAGAGUUCUUUGUCAGAAUGGCAUUGUUCGAGCGUGCUCUCAACUUCAAGUGGGAGAUCAUCAUUGUCUAUGGCCCCGCUGACCACCGCCGAUCUGCGUCCUUCCUUGAUGAACUCAAGAGGAAGGUGUCGGCCGCGUGCUUGCCGGUCAUAGUGGGUGGUGACUUCAACCUCCUCCGUUUUGCGGAGGAUAAGAGCAACGGUCUAGUAAACUUCCCUCGGAUGCAGAUGUUCAAUGAUUGCAUCGCCAAGCUCGGUCUGCGGGAAUUACACAGGAUUGGUGCCGGAUUCACCUGGACCAACCGCCAAGCGGACCCGACCCGCUCCGUUCUGGACCGCGUCUUGGUCUCGCCAGAGUGGGAGCAUCGCUGCCCCCUUGCCUCCCUCCACGCCAUCACCCGGAUUGGCUCGGACCAUGUCAUUCUGCUCCUGUCUUCUCAGGAUGACCGCCCGCCCACUGCGCCUAGGUUUCGCUUUGAGACGUUCUGUCUUAACCAGAACGAUUUCGCUGAGGCUGCUCAGGACCGCUGGAUGGAGGCCCGGCUCGCCCCUCACCGGUCCAUCUUGGCGGUGGAUGAUUGGCACUUCUGUGCCAAGCGCUCUCGUCAGUUUAUGAAGGGUUGGGGCGCAAACCUCGGACGGGACCUGUGGGAUCGCAAGAAGGCCCUCCUUGCCUCCAUCCAAGCGUUGGACCUCCAGGCCAACUCGGUGGGACUAGCCCCCGAUGAGUGGCUGCUUCGUUAUGACCUUGAGGAUCAGCUCACGGUCAUUUACACCGACGAGGAGGCGUAUUGGCGACUCUGGGGGACCCAAAAGUGGGUCCUCGAGGGUGACGCCAAUACGGCCUAUUUCCAGGCCAUCGCCAAUGGUCGUAGGAGGCGGAAUACCAUCCCCUUGCUUUGGGAUGGGGAAACCCUCCUGCAGCGCCCGGCCAAGAUCCGUGCUCAUGUCGAUGGCUUCUAUAAAGCCCUUUUUCCGCCCCCUAGGGGAGGCUUGGCCCUAGCUACGGACUUCUGGGUUGGUCCACAGUGCAUCUCGCCCGCGGAAAAUGCUGCCCUCACGGCUCCGUUCACCGAGGAGGAAGUCUGGGAGGCGAUUAACGGAAUGAAUCCAUCGUCCGCCCCUGGCCCCGACGGUCUGCCGGUGAAGUUCUUCCAGACCUUCUGGACUGCCAUCAAGCCGGAGGUCAUGGCCCUCUUUGAGGAGUUCUAUGUGGGCACCAUUGACCUCCACCGCCUUAACUACGGGAUCAUCACAUUGAUUCCCAAGGUGCCUGGAGCCUCGGACAUUGGUCAGUUCCUACCAAUCACGGUGAUCAAUGUGAUCUUCCGCAUUCUGGCAAAGGGGUACGCCAAUAGGGUGGCCCCUUUGGCUGACUGCAUCACCCACCCUGACCAGUCCGCCUUCAUCCAAGGCCGGUAUAUUCCGGAUGGGGUCCUUGUCUUCCAUGAAGUUCUGCAUGAGGUCCAGUCCAAAAACCUCAAAGCAAUCUUCCUGAAAAUUGACUUCCACAAAGCCUACGACGCGGUUAGCUGGUCCUUCCUUCGGGAAGUGUUGCUCAGGAAAGGGUUCGACGAUCGCUGGGUCACCCGGGUCAUGCAGAUGGUGGCCUCUGGGCACACCGCGGUUAACAUUAAUGGGGAGAUCGGUUAUGUGGGGUUAGGCAGGUUGUCACGUCUCAAAAUAAACUUCGAUAAGAGCGAGGUAAUGAUUUUAGGCUAUUCCCCCUCCGAGAGCCAGAGUAUUGCUAACCGACUCAACUGUCGGCUUGGUUCUUUCCCCACCACCUACCUGGGGAUCCCCAUUAGCGACUCUCGACUCUCUGUGGCUGACCUGCGGCCCUCGAUGCUCAAGCUUCAACACCGUAUCGAGCCAUGGCAAGGGCGAUGGUUGUCUAAGGCGGCUCGGACGAUCCUCAUCAACUCGUCCUUGUCCAGCCUCCUCCUGUUCAUCAUGAGUUUCUACAGUCUGCCCGAAACGUUGCACCAUGAGAUCGGUGCAGUCCAGGCGCGCUUUUACUGGGCCGGUGAUGGUGAUAAGCAGAAAUACCAUAUGGUUCGCUGGACCGACAUCUGCAAACCUAGGGACCAAGGGGGCAUCGGCAUCAUGUCCUCCAAACACAUGAACCUGGCACUCCUGACGAGGUGGCUCUGGCGCAUUGCGAAUGGCGAGGGUGGCCUGUGGUUGCAAAUCAUCCGAAACAAAUACUUGCGCGGCCAACCUCUUGCCUUCUGCCUUAGGGCAAGGGGAUCCCAGUUCUGGCAGUCCGUCAUCCAACUGCUCCCGGUUCUCCGCAUCGGGACCUCCAUCACGGUCGGCUCUGGGACAACCACUCUGUUUUGGUUCGACUGGUGGGCUGGGGACUCCCCCUUCGCUGCCCGGUUCCCGGAUCUCUUCUCCAUUGCGGUGGAGCCUAGGAUCUCCGUCGAGACGGCCCUUCUUGACUUAGGGCGUGUAAAGGAUGCCACCUUCGAGGUGGGUAGCAUGGACCGGGGCCGGUUCUUUGUUAGCAUGGAGCUAUACGAACGGGCCCUAAACUUCAAGUGGGAGGUCAUUAUCGUCUACAGCCCUGCAGACCAUAGUAGAUCUGCCUCCUUCCUCGAGGAGCUCCACCGGAAGGUUUCGGCUGCCUCGCUUCCGGUGGUGGGGGGGGGCGAUUUUAACCUCCUUCGAUUCGCGGAUGACAAGAGCAACUCGAAUGUCAACUUUGCUCGGAUGCAAAUGUUUAAUGACUGCAUUGCUGACCUUGGUCUCCGCGAAAUAGAUCGGAUUGGUGCCAGGUUUACCAGGACCAACCGUCAGGCGUCCCCGACCCAGUCCGUCCUGGACCGGGUCCUAGUCUCCCCGGAAUGGGACCUCCGCUGCUCCCUAGCUUCCCUCCGGGCCAUCACCCGGAUUGGGGUGGGGCGCCAACCUGGGCGUGACCUCCGCGAGCGCAAGAAGGCCCUGUUGACCGCCAUCCAGGCCUUGGACCUGCGCGCCGAUGCGACCGGCCUCUCUCCUGAGGAGUGGCUUUCCCGAUACGACUUGGAAGACCAACUCUCUGUCAUCUACACCGAUGAGGAGGCCUAUUGGCGUCUGCGUGGUGCCCAGAAAUGGGUGUUGAAGGGCGAUGCGAACACGGCCUACUUCCAGGCCAUAGCGAACGGUUGCCGUAGAUGCAACACCAUCCCCCUACUCUGGGAUGGCGCGACCCUUAUGCAGUCCCCCUGCGACAUUAGGGCCCAUGUCGACGGGUUCUACAGGUCCCUGUUCUCAGCCGCUCCCCGGAGCGGCUUAUCUCUGGCCCGUGACUGCUGGACCGGCCGCCAGCUAGUCUCCGAUGCGGAUAACGUGCCCCUUACGGCCCCCUUCUCCGAGGGCGAGGUCUGGGCUGCCAUUAGAGGCAUGAACCCUACCUCGGCCCCGGGUCCGGAUGGCCUCCCGGCUAAAUUCUUCCAGACCUUCUGGAAUGUGAUCAAGCCUGAGAUCAUGGCCAUCUUCGACGAGUUCUACGUUGGGUCCAUCGACCUCGGGCGCCUCAAAUAUGGGAUCAUUUCGCUCAUCCCCAAGGUGCCUGGGGCUUCUGACAUUCGCCAGUUUCGCCCGAUUACGGUGAUCAAUGUGAUCUUCCGGAUUCUGGCAAAAGGGUACGCCAAUAGGGUGACCCUGCUUGCCGACCACAUUACCCACCCCAACCAAUCCGCCUUCAUUCAAGGUCGGUAUAUCCUGGAUGGGGUGCUAGUUCUUCAUGAAGUCCUCCAUGAGGUCCGAUCCAAACACCUCAGGGCGGUCUUCCUGAAGAUCGACUUCCAUAAAGCAUACGACACUGUUAGCUGGCCCUUCCUUCAGGAAGUUCUGCUCCGGAAAGGCUUCGACGACCGAUGGAUCACCAGAGUGAUGCAGAUGGUUUCCUGCGGUCGCACUGCCGUGAACAUCAACGGGGAGAUUGGCCCUUACUUCCCCACUCUUUGUGGGGUUAGACAAGGCGAUCCUUUCUCCCCAUUCUUGUUCAACAUGGUGGUGGACGCGCUUGCCGCCAUCCUGGACAAGGCUAAGGUUGCGGGCCAUAUUCAUGGGAUCACUCCCCACCUCGCCGGUGGCUCCGGGAUCUCCCUUCUCCAGUACGCCGACGACACCAUCAUCAUGGUCGAAGGCUCGGAGGCGGACAUCGCCAACCUUAAGUUCCUUCUCCUCUGCUUCCAACAAAUGUCUGGCCUCAAGAUCAACUUCGACAAGAGUGAUGUGAUGGUGAUGGGAUACUCUCCGGCAGAGGCCCUCGACAUUGCCAACCGUCUCAACUGCCGACUGGGCUCCUUCCCCACGACUUACUUGGGAACGCCCAUUAGUGACUCUCGGCUUACCGUUGCUGACUUGCGCCCGACCGUGGCCAAGCUGCAAACGCGUAUUGAGCCAUGGCAGGGUAGGUGGCUGUCGAAGGCGGCUCGGACGAUUCUCAUCAACUCCUCCCUCUCCAGCCUCCUCUUGUUCCUCAUGAGCUUCUACAGCCUUCACGAGACUCUACACCAUGAGAUCACCAAAGUCCAGUCUCGCAUCUAUUGGGCUGGCGAUAACAAUAAGCAGAAAUACCAUAUGGUUAGCUGGCCAGACAUCUGCAAGCCCCGGGAACAAGGAGGUCGCGGUAUCAUGUGCUCUAAGCGCAUGAAUAUUGCCCUCCUUUCCCGCUGGCUCUGGCGCAUUUCGCAAGGGCACGGCGGCCUUUGGUUAGACAUCAUCCGGAGCAAGUACCUGCGUGGGCAACCCCUGGCCUUCUGUCAGAGGUCCGGCGGUUCCCAGUUUUGGCAGUCGGUCAUCCAACUGCUCCCUGUCCUCCACAUUGGGACCUCCAUCUCGGUCGGAUCGGGAGCUGCGACUUUGUUCUGGUUUGACUGUUGGGCGGGAGACACCCCCUUCGCGGCACGCUUCCCUGACCUCUUCUCCAUCGCCGUCGCUCCUUCGAUCUCAGUAGAGAGGGCCCUUAUUGACCUAGGGCGCCUCGCUUUCCGGAGGCCAUUUGGGCCUCCGGAAGCCGCCGCCUGGCAGGAGCUACUUGAUUGUGUUGCUCUCCACGAGCCGGUUGUGGAUGCUGGCCCGGAUGAGGUUCGGUGGCGCCUUGAGCCUUCAGGCCAGUUCUCCACCAAGUCCCUCUAUAUGGCCAUUGCCCCCUCCUCCGCUCCUCCCCCACUUUUGGCGGUGUGGUCCAUCCGCAUUCCUUUGAAAAUCCGGAUCUUCAUGUGGCAAUGGAUCCGAGGGCAGAUACCGUCUGGGGUGGAGGUUCGCAAGCGCAAUGGCCCUGGGUCCGGCCUCUGCCCGCUGUGUGGUACCCCCGAAGAUUCGAAUCACAUCUUCUCCUGUGUGUCCGCUCAAUUCGUCUGGAGCUGCUUUAGAGAGGUGGUGGGGGUAAUUGGUGCCACACCAACUUCCCCGACCUCUUCGCCGAACUCCAGAACUCCCCCUGCCCUCUCGCCACAUUAG
rnacentral:rRNA from 1 species